CAGCCGCCUAGAACCGCGGACUUGACCCCGCGCAUGCCCGGACUCUCCCAGCCUUAUAUAAUCUGACCGCUCUCGAUUAACCGUGUCGUGCGCCAUUGACGAGGAGAGAGAGAAGCGGGGACCACCAUUGAUGCAUCGUGAGCGCAGGAGAGAGAGAUGCAAGAAGAGAGAAAAUAGAGCUGGGCCACUGCGAGGGAGUCCUGGAUCACCAUCGAUCUGAGUCAAGCACGCGGCCAGAAAGAUCCCCGACGAGAAUAACUGAAUGUGAGGACCUGGGAUUUGUUCAUCAGCGAUUGCCGCUGCUGUGUGUCCGCCCCUCAUCGAGGCCUCCUCUAACCGUCGCUUAAUCACAGGUAAAAAGUCCCUAAAUGCAUUCGCGACACCUUAAUCUUCGUGUUCCCGUCGGUAAUUGGAUCUGCGUGAGCCUGCGUACUAGUUUGGUAUGUCGCCGUGGAGUGCCGCGCCGCCGGGUGUGUCGUGCGGGCCACUACUGCUGGGGGCUGAGAAGGAAGACGAUGGGAGAAACGUCGAUUUCUGGUGGAGGGCUCAGAUUGAACGCUGCGUACACCCCUUCGCUGGUUUGAUCUGAGCGGUUGGUUCCGAUCGGACGGACCUGGUGUGAUCACGGUUAUUUAAAAUAUAGGCCGUUGAUCUGGCCAGGGACGGAUACGAUUAGACUGGGCGCUUACCUCUUCGUUGGUUGAGUAUGUACUGUUGAUCUAUAAUCUAACGGUUGUGAUGCGCGCGGGGUUAGGCAGCCGAGCCAGCUUUACGUAAGAGCCCUCGAGAUUUAAGGUAAUAAACCCGCCGUCCAUUUUUUUAGUAUAAAGAAAGUAAAAUUAAAUGAAGACUUUGCGUUUUAGCCCAUGGGGUUUGUUUUUAGGCACAAAAUUGAUACAAAUAUGCACAAAAGCUAAGAAAAUCCAUAUCUUGCUCAUGUUAACUCCAUUUUAGUCCGUUUAAGUUGCGUUAGCUUCGUAAUAAAAUUAUCUACACUUUGGUAACCUUAUUUUAUCAUGAAACAUGUUUGUAAAUAAUUAAUUUGUUUACCCUAUGUUCAUUGGAUUAACUUCUUUAUUUAAAAUUAAAGUAAAAUUUUCGCUUCCUAGUUGUAAUUUGACUUAAAUAUGUUUUCUAAUCAAGUUAUAACUUGGGUUAAAAUUAAAUUAAUGGUUUCUUAGGAAUAUAUUUCUCACGUGAUUUAUAAUAAUCAACCUAGAACCUAGUUUUCCUGUUUAAUCACAUAAACCUUCGGAAAAUCAUAACUUUAUAACCGUAGCUCCUAAUUUAGCAAUUCUCGAGCCCGCGAUCUCAUAGCUUCGCGUAGAUUAUUAUUACACAGUUUAUUCUUAUAUUUGGUGUGAUGUUAAUUUUGUCUAUACCAUGUUUGUUUGUAUUGCUACGACUAGCGUGAGGUCACGAGUCACCUGAAGAUCAUCCUGGUACCUGGAAUCUCAAGUCCCAGGCAAGUUGUGCCCUUGAUCACUUCUUUUACCCACUCAUAUUCUAAUUAAUCAUAAUGAUCUGCAUAGGUUAAUUUGAUGGGACCUAAUAGGUUACCCUAGUUUGUCUAUCUUUAUGCCUUGUUUACCACUAAACUUUCUGGGUAGUACUUGCUAGUGCUAUAUGUGGAUUUGGGCAUUGAGAUACAUAUUAUUCAUACUUUUGUUAUCAGUUGCUAUUUACUGUUCAUGAUAAGAUCAUUCUGUUAAUUGGAACAUGGAGAACCACCCGGGAAAACAGUGCUACCACAAGGGUUUAAUGGGACGCCCUUGGCCGAUUAAUUAGGAAAGCUAGUGGAAGACUACCUUACCCGAAAGGGGCAAGGGCAGUAGGGGAGUGGUCAGUGUAGGGAGGCCCUCGGGAGGAUUUUGCUGCGAUGGCGGUCCUGCAAGGGAUUCCUGCAUUGGAGCUUCCUAUAAACUGUAGCGGGUUUUCUGAAGCUAGUGGAACUUUGUAAAGGCCUCGUAGUGUUACCCUGCCUCGCCUCCUCGAUAGAGGUGUAUGGGAAGUCGCGAUCCCUUGGCAGAUGGGUAACAUGACUUGUGGGUAAAGAUGCGCAACCUCUACAGAGUGUAAAACUGGUAUACUAGCCGUGCUCACGGUCAUGAGCAGCUCGGACACUCACAUGAUUAAAUUAUGAAACUUAAACUCAAUUUGUCAUAUGCAUUGCAUCGCAGGUGAGGUUGUUACUUUUGUUCUGCUACUUAAUUGGGUUGGUAUUUACUUAUACUUAGUAAUUGCUAAUAAAAUUUUGACCAACAUUAAAAGCAAUGCUCAGCUUCAACCAUCCUCUUUGGUAAGCCUUACACUUCACGUGAGCUCCCACCUUUGGCGAGUUCAUGCACAUUAUUCCCCACAACUUGUUGAGCUAUGAACGUAUGUGAGCUCACUCUUGCUGUCUCACACCCCCCCACAGGUCAAGAACAGGUACCGCAGGAUGAGGCACAUGGAGGAUGCUGUGAUGAGUUCGUGAGAGAGAUCUAGGCCGUCGUCUCCCAGUCAACUUUGGGUUGCUGGACCGUUGUCUCCUUUUGAUGUAAUUAUUUAUUGAUUUUGUAUAGAACUCUUGUUAUAUAGUAAAUAUGUGACAUUCGAUCCUGUGCCACUAUACAUCAUAUGUGUGAGACUUGGUCCCAGCACACCUGGUGUUUAUGUUCGCGCCCGGGUCUUGGUGCCCCGAAACCCGGGUGUGACAGAAGUGGUAUCAGAGGAAUGUUGACUGUAGGACGAAACCUAGAUAGAACCAGAUAACCAUUAUCUACUUACCUUUGCUACUCUGAUUCUUUUCUAAACUUUUCUUAAUCUUUUCUCAUCUAUUUCCGCUUUACUCUGAUUAUUCUUACCUUUUCCUUCUAAAGACAAAUGUGGAUUUCACACUUUGAAAUCCUGUGCCUAAAGUGACCUUUAGGAAUAGGAGACCUACUCUUAGGAACAAAAACAAAACUAUUUUUGUAGGUAUCUAUGUGCUUCAAUGUUUGUUCUUGUGAUACUUGUUUGAUUUGGAUCUUUGGUUGAGUGUGAGUAAUGUCCACGAUUACAUCUGCAUGUACAUAAUGCUUAUAAAACUAACUAGACAAAUUAGAUUAUUCCUCAUUAAUGUAGCUAGCCUAACAAUAUCUAUCUCAUCUUAAAAGAUUCUAUCCUACACUCAUAGAUCCAUCUCCUCUCAAAAGAUCCUAACUUAUCCUAAUCUAGCUUAAUAGAUUUACCUUAUCUUAAGAGAUACUCUAUUGUCUUAAUAGAAUCAUCCUAUCUUGAAAAAGAUUUCAUGUCAUCCUAAUAGAUCUAACUGACCUCAAAAGAUUCUACGUUAUCCUUAGGGACUUAUCUUGCCCUAAUUAGCGUAUUUAUCCCACUCUAGAAUAACCACCAUGAGCUAACCCAACCAAUAGAUUCUUGAUGGAUUGCAUAAUCUGUCUACCCUCACUUGACAACAAACAAGCUUUUGACCUACAUCAUGCACUCUAUCUCAUCCAUAACUAUCUUAACCACAUUUCCCCAACUCCAAUGAUAUACACUGACCUCGAAUCAAUGAGACCAAGACCAGAAAAGGACAAGAUCAACCUCGUCAAGAAAGGAGAGAAGUCAAACUUGAUCUUUAGAUGCAUUACCAUCCAACACGGAGUUCUUCUCACCAUAAACUGUCUUACCCUAGGCUAUUCUUGCCCUAACCUUCCUAUCUUUUAUCUUACAUAAUAAUGUGGUUAUACUCAUGCAUACCCAUGCUCUCCUAAUCACCCACCAAUGAUUACGAAAGAAAAUACCCUUCAUUCUUGAUCUAAUUAAAAAUUAAAAGCUAAAAUCACAAACCAAUUCUUUUGUAUCCCUUCUUCUAACAAAUCUCAAGGACGAGAUUUUUGUUAAGGGGGGUAGAAUUUGUAACACCUCAAAAUAAUGUUUUUGUGAACCGAGAAGCUCUUCAAAAUAUUUGGAUUGAAAUGUCUUUUAAACAAGAAUUGUAUUAUCUUUGGAAUCAUUUUCUUAAAAGAAAUAAAUGAUAAUAUUAUAUUAUUCAAAGCUAGAUUAGAUCUAGAAUACUAGAAUUUGACUUCAAAAUUCAUAAAAUAAACAAACAUGAAGAUUUUCAUUUAUUUAUAUGAGUGAAUUGUUUUUUGGAUUAUGUAUUCGCAUCUAUUCAAAAAAUGGAUAAAAUAAUUACUAUAAUUUUUUUAUUACAUCCCAUGCUAAGAUUUUUGUCGAAGCAUCUAAAUUGUAUUUGAAAUUUAAAACCAAAUCUGAAAUUGAAUAUAAAAUUAAAAAAAUAAAACAUAAACAAGUAGAAAAAAAAGAAACUAACAGCACCUGUUUGUUUUCCCAGCCGGCCCACACCCGCUAUGGUCAUGCACGACAUGUGCAUGGUGUGUUUUCGUUUUUCUUUCUUUUAUUUAUCUUAUUCUCUUUUCUCUAUUAUUUAUUCCUCCCAUCACGCACAACGUCAUGUAUGCUUUCUCCAAAUCGCUGCUCGCGAUGGCCGCGCGGGAGAUCCUGAAAUCACUUGCGUCGAUCUCGCUCGCCCAACUGAAUCCUCACCAGCCGCCUAGAACCGCGGACUUGACCCCGCGCAUGCCCGGACUCUCCCAGCCUUAUAUAAUCCGACCGCUCUCGAUUAACCGUGCCGUGCGCCAUUGACGAGGAGAGAGAAGCGGGGACCACCAUUGAUGCAUCGUGAGCGCAGGAGAGAGAGAUGCAAGAAGAGAGAAAAUAGAGCUGGGCCACUGCGAGGGAGUCCUGGAUCACCAUCGAUCUGAGUCAAGCACGCGGCCAGAAAGAUCCCCGACGAGAAUAACUGAAUGCGAGGACCUGGGAUUUGUUCAUCAGCGAUUGCUGCUGCUGUGUGUCCGCCCCUCAUCGAGGCCUCCUCUAACCGUCGCUUAAUCACAGGUAAAAAGUCCCUAAAUGCAUUCGCGACACCUUAAUCUUCGUGUUCCCGUCGGUAAUUGGAUCUGCGUGAG
rnacentral:lncRNA from 1 species